rnacentral:tRNA from 1 species
GGGGAUGUAGCUCAGUGUAAAGUGCUUGCCUAGCACGCAUAAGGCCCUAGGUUCAAUCCCCAGUAUUCCUC